CACACCCGUUCCCAUACCGAACACGGAAGUUAAGCUCUCUAGCGCCGAUGGUAGUUGGGACCUUGUCCCUGUGAGAGUAGGACGUCGCCAAGC
rnacentral:rRNA from 17 species